rnacentral:rRNA from 1 species
AGCUAUGGGUCUAUUGGGCCUGAAUGUGCCCAAUCUUGUCUGAUCUCAGAAGCUAAGCAGGGUCGAGCCUGGUUAGUACUUGGAUGGGAGACCACCUGGGAAUACUAGGUGCUGUAGAUG